rnacentral:rRNA from 1 species
UACGGAGGGGGGCUAGCGUUGUUCGGAAUUACUGGGCGUAAAGCGCGCGUAGGCGGACCUGCAAGUCGGGGGUGAAAGCCCGAGGCUCAACCUCGGAACUGCCUUCGAUACUGCGGGUCUCGAGUCCGGGAGAGGUGAGUGGAAUUCCUAGUGUAGAGGUGAAAUUCGUAGAUAUUAGGAAGAACACCAGUGGCGAAGGCGGCUCACUGGCCCGGUACUGACGCUGAGGCGCGGAAAGCGUGGGGAGCAAACGGGG